rnacentral:rRNA from 1 species
UAGGGGAGACGGUACCGAAGGAGGAAGCCCCGGCUAACUACGUGCCAGCAGCCGCGGUAAUACGUAGGGGGCAAGCGUUGUCCGGAAUSACUGGGCGUAAAGCGCGCGCAGGCGGUUUUUCGGGUCUGGGGUGAAAGYYCRGGGCUCAACCYUGAGAUGGCCUUGGAAACGGGGAARCUUGAGKGUSGGAGAGGYMAGGGGAAUUCCACGUGUAGCGGUGAAAUGCGUAGAGAUGUGGAGGAAUACCAGUGGCGAAGGCGCCUGMCUGGACRAAACCUGACGCUGAGGCGCGAARGCGUGGGGAGCAAACAGGAUUAGAUACCCUGGUAGUCCACGCSGUAAACGAUGAGUGCUAG